rnacentral:rRNA from 1 species
AAAUGAAUUGACGGGGACCCGCACAAGCGGUGGAGCAUGUGGUUUAAUUCGAAGCAACGCGAAGAACCUUACCAGGUCUUGACAUCCGCUGCAUAGCCUAGAGAUAGGUGAAGUCCUUCGGGACAGCGAGACAGGUGGUGCAUGGUUGUCGUCAGCUCGUGUCGUGAGAUGUUGGGUUAAGUCCCGUAACGAGCGCAACCCUUAUUACUAGUUGCCAGCAUUCAGUUGGGGACUCUAGUGAGACUGCCGGUGACAAACCGGAGGAAGGUGGGGAUGACGUCAAAUCAUCAUGCCCCUUAUGACCUGGGCUACACACGUGCUACAAUGGAUGGUACAACGAGCAGCUAAGCCGCGAGGCCACGCGAAUCUCUGAAAGCCAUUCCCAGUUCGGAUUGUUCUCUGCAACUCGAGAGCAUGAAGCCGGAAUCGCUAGUAAUCGUGGAUCAGCACGCCACGGUGAAUACGUUCCCGGGUCUUGUACACACCGCCCGU